rnacentral:rRNA from 1 species
AGCGAACGCUGGCGGCAGGCCUAACACAUGCAAGUCGAACGAACUCUUCGGAGUUAGUGGCGGACGGGUGAGUAACACGUGGGAACGUGCCUUUAGGUUCGGAAUAACUCAGGGAAACUUGUGCUAAUACCGAAUGUGCCCUUCGGGGGAAAGAUUUAUCGCCUUUAGAGCGGCCCGCGUCUGAUUAGCUCGUUGGGGAGGUAAAGGCUCACCAAGGCGACGAUCAGUAGCUGGUUUGAGAGGAUGAUCAGCCACAUUGGGACUGAGACACGGCCCAAACUCCUACGGGAGGCAGCAGUGGGGAAUCUUGCGCAAUGGGCGAAAGCAUGACGCAGCCAUGCCGCGUGAAUGAUGAAGGUAUUAGGAUUGUAAAAUUCUUUCAACGGGGACGAUAAUGACGGUACCCGGAGAAGAAGCCCCGGCUAACUUCGUG